CCUACGGGAGGCAGCAGUGAGGAAUAUUGGUCAAUGGACGAGAGUCUGAACCAGCCAAGUAGCGUGAAGGAUGACUGCCCUAUGGGUUGUAAACUUCUUUUAUAUGGGAAUAAAACGUUCCACGUGUGGGAUUUUGUAUGUACCAUAUGAAUAAGGAUCGGCUAACUCCGUGCCAGCAGCCGCGGUAAUACGGAGGAUCCGAGCGUUAUCCGGAUUUAUUGGGUUUAAAGGGAGCGUAGGUGGUUUGUUAAGUCAGUUGUGAAAGUUUGCGGCUCAACCGUAAAAUUGCAGUUGAAACUGGCAGUCUUGAGUACAGUAGAGGUGGGCGGAAUUCGUGGUGUAGCGGUGAAAUGCUUAGAUAUCACGAAGAACUCCGAUGGCGAAGGCAGUUCACUGGACUGCAACUGACGCUGAGGCUCGAAAGUGUGGGUAUCAAACAGGAUUAGAUACCCUUGUAGUC
rnacentral:rRNA from 1 species